rnacentral:lncRNA from 1 species
GAAUAUUCUAAAAGAAAUUCUAUUCUUUUUCUUUCUUAUAAAAAAAAUACUUCACUUUAUACUUUGGGAGUUCCAACUAUUCUGACUUAAUUCUAUCUCGGUCACCGUGUGAUCGGCACGGGUUCGAUCCCAACCUGAUCGAAUAGGCCCAAUCCACGAGGUGUCACUCGCUUCAUGGUUCUCAGUGCUCAUAUCUCAUACCUUAGCAUGGCUAAGUAAAUUCUCAGCAACAACACCCUCGGCUCGUGUGCUCCCUACUUUGGCACAAGUAGUUUCAGGAAGUCAACGCCUUGGUCAGGACCCUAAACCUGCACGAUGACCCCUUCUCAGAAUAAAAGAUACUCCCAAAAAUCUUUUCUUUCUAAAACUUCUUCUUGUGAUUUUUGAAGUCUAAAUCUUUUAUACAUACUCAUACUGGUAUCCUUAAAUGUAAGGCAUGACAUAAGAAUGAAAUAAACAUUCAAAAUUAUUUAUAAAGGUUCUUGAUCCUUCAUGACUUUUCAACAUGAAAAUGGUAUAUAAGAAUAACAUAAAAAUCUGGAAUUUAUGCACAUAUAUCCAUAUAAUCAUCUAAACUUUAGCUAGAAAAUAAUUCUAAGCUAAUAGGUACUUACUGCUCCAAUUAAGUAUAUAUUAACUCUUUUAUGCAAUUCAUCAAACACCUUGUGUGCGUGCUUUUGUGAGUUUCAAUUCAUCAACCACUUUAGUAAAGAAUUGUAUCAACUCACCUCAAUUUCUCCUUUCAAGCAACAUUGUAAGUUUCAAUUCUUGUAAUCAACUCAACGAUCAAAUACUACAAUGAUAAGUCACAAUAAGUAUCCAACUUUCCAAAAGCAUUAAUCUUUUGUCAACUCUAAGAACUUUUGGUUCAACUUCUAAAUUUUUAAGUUUUGGGGUGAGGUCUUGUUCUAACAAUCCUUUACUGCCUCUAACAACCUUAACCUGUCAUAGCAAUCUAAUAAAAAUGAAGAAUUUAUCUAUUAACACCAAAAACUUAACUCGUAUUUGAUGGGUGUUCUUGAGGUUUUGUAAAACUAUGAAUUUACCUUUUUAGGGUGUUAGAUUCUAGUAUAUAAUGAUGUUAUAGCUUACAAUUCCCUAAAAAGAAUUACCUCAGUCGUGGCCUAAAGAAGGUCCUGCGGAAUAGCUCUCAAUGAUCGAUACGCUGCUUUGUUCUUGCUCCUAGACCUCUCGUUCUUUUCCAAAGGCUUUAAGCCUUUUUGCCUCUACGUGACUAAAC